CCUCUAACUUAGAGCCAGCGUUCUUCAGAACUAUGACCAGUGUGUUUCUUACAGGUACCAGGAAGUGGGCAUCUCAAGCAAGACAGGCUGCCUGUUCCAAGUUGACUAAAUCCUGAGCAUGCUUGUGUGAAGCUUGCUUUAUUCCCUUAGUUGGUGGAAUUCGUCAGCUUAGAUCCACAUUCUCUCCACCAUCAAUGUUGCAUACUGGCUGGAGGGAUCAGCUUGUGGCCUCAGUGUCCCUUUAGGACACCUUUUACCCAUGUUCAGGAUCUCAUUCUCAUUUCUCAACACUGCUGCAAGUUCAAGGAGAACCUAUGUAAUCCAGACAGGCUCAGUACUUAAGGUCUCCAUCUCGAGUGAUUGGGGUGGAAGGUCUGUGCCAUGAGGUGACGGCAUCCUCACCAGACUGAUUCCUGUAGUGAUCGAAGUCCUUGCUGACCAGUUAUUAUUCAUGGUAACAAUGCAAAUUAAUUAUUUAUCAUGUUUUCCUCCCAUGUGGAUGUAAUAGGACCAGGAUCUUUCUGGAAGGGCUAGACAAAUGUUGUCCUUCUACCUUAUAUAAUGGAAGGCAUUUUCACCAGUUAAAGAUAAUUGCUAUCAUUAAAUAUUGAUAGAGCAUAGUUUUUUUUUUUUUCUGGAAGGGAAACAACUCUGAGAAAUGUAAUCAUUGUGUCAUGUCCUAGACUUUUUCACCAAUGGGAACUAGGCUUCAAGGAGGAAGAAAACUCUUUGGAAGGAAAACAACUAUUUAUUUAUUCAUUUGUUUGUUUAUUUUUUUAAUAGCUGACCUCCCAGGUGCCAUUGCUUGAGCUGUGAGAGAAAGGAGGCAUUUUUACAAGCCAAAGUGAAGAGAGAAGGAACACUUUAAAAGACUAAGCCAGAAUUUAACCUGGCAGACAGUUGACAGACACAUGGCAACCUCGUGGACCAAGAUGGCCUCCCUGCCUUCAAGGGGCAGAGAAGAGCGAAGGAUGAAAUCCUGGGCUUUCUCUGAGGGAUUGAGAGUGAAAACUGCCACCUGACCGUCCAUGUCCUGUGCCACCAGCUCACAUGUCAACGUUUCACUGAAAUGAGUCUGGGUAAUAUCUUUACCUCAGGUAUCAAAGUAUCCAGCUGAAAAAUUAGAGAGUCUGCACCAGUCUCUGUUACCUGCCUGAUCUUUUUUCCCUUGGUGGCUCAGUCUGGUGGACAUUGCCCCUAUUGUUGAAAUAAAGAUUUUUACCACCAA